UCUGCCUCACAUGUCAUCCAGCACCAGGUUGAAUUUGGGGUCCCUCAUGUGUGCAAUUCCUGACAGCACUGCAGAGCUCUACUCAUGCUCCUUGCACCACACUGGCAUUGCAGGCAGCAAGUAGCAGGUUGUUUGCCACGGGUGACUGAUUUUAGCCAUAUAUUUAUCUGCUUCAGCCUUGCGUGUUGAUUCCCAGCUACAUCCUGCUCUUAACAUCCCUUUUCGGAGGCACCAAAAAGAAGGAAAUCAUCCAAUUAGACUAACAGCUGCAGAGAUUGGAAUAAGCCUUGCAUGUGAGAAAAUUAAAGAAAAUGCAGCUGAGUACUAUGCAAAGCAGUGAAGGUGCAAGACUCUACACUUGCUUUUGUUAAACCUCAUCUGGUUCCUCUCUGCUCAAUUCUCCAGUCUGUCCAAGUCUUGAUGAAUGGCAGCGCAGCCUUCUCCC
ensembl:lncRNA